rnacentral:rRNA from 1 species
GACGAACGCUGGCGGCGUGCUUAACACAUGCAAGUCGAACGGAAAGGCCCUGCUUUUGUGGGGUGCUCGAGUGGCGAACGGGUGAGUAACACGUGAGUAACCUGCCCUUGACUUUGGGAUAACUUCAGGAAACUGGGGCUAAUACCGGAUAGGAGCUCCUGCUGCAUGGUGGGGGUUGGAAAGUUUCGGCGGUUGGGGAUGGACUCGCGGCUUAUCAGCUUGUUGGUGGGGUAGUGGCUUACCAAGGCUUUGACGGGUAGCCGGCCUGAGAGGGUGACCGGGGAGCGUGGGAGUGCGAAGCGGGGGAGAGGCGGGAGGGGGGAGGGGGGGGGGAAUAGGGGAAGGUGCGGGGGAGCCGGGCGCGGGAAGGCGGGGUGCGGGAUGAGGGGCUGGGGGUGGGAACCAGGUGUAGGUGGAGAGGGGGGGAGGGGGAAGGGAAGGGGAAAAAGAGGAUCGCCGAACGACGGGCCAGCGGCCGCGGUAACAGUCGGAAGAGCAGGUGUCGGACA